UGGGCACUUGACUGCACAAUGUGGAGACAC
rnacentral:piRNA from 1 species